GCCGCUGUGGUGGAACUUGGCAGACACAAAUGACUUAAAAUCAUUCGGAAGAGAUUCCGUACCGGUUCGAGUCCGGUCAGCGGCACCA
rnacentral:tRNA from 1 species